rnacentral:rRNA from 1 species
UAGGGUGAGGUGUGAUGAUGGGCGUCCUUUGGACGCGAUAUCCGGUGGUCCAGGCCGUCGAGAAAGCCUCGGCGCGAGGGGCGUCGCCGCCCGUACCCCAAACCGACACUGGUGGUCAGGUAGAGAAUACCAAGGCGAUCGAGCGAAUCCUGGUCAAGGAACUCGGCAAAUCACUCCCGUGCCUUCGGUAUAAGGGGAGACCCCCGGGCGUGAAGAGGCUUGCCCUCGGAGCGGUUGGGGGUGGCACAGACCAGGGGGUAGCGACUGUUUACCAAAAACACAGGUGCAUGCGAAGGCGCAAGCCGCUGUAUAUGCACUGACGCCUGCCCGGUGCCGGAAGGUUAAGAGGAUCCGUCAGCCCCUUUUGGGGUGAAGCGGUGAAUUCAAGCCCCGGUAAACGGCGGUGGUAACUAUAACCAUCCUAAGGUAGCGAAAUUCCUUGUCGGGUAAGUUCCGACCUGCACGAAUGGCGUAACGACUUCCCCACUGUCUCGACCAGGAGCUCGGCGAAAUUGCAGUACGAGUAAAGAUGCUCGUUAAGCGCAGAAGGACGAAAAGACCCCCG